UCGACACAGUCACAAGAAACUGAAAAACAGUUGUGAGAGCAGGAACUGUAUCCUAAGAGAUUUCUCAGACAUAAGCAGAUAUUAUUGGACAUAAGUCUGAAUUACUGACAAUAUACUGAAAACAGAUGGAAAUGUAUUGAAAAAGGUCAUCAGUAUAAUCUGUUUUCAUGUCCAGCAUCUAUGGCAUCACAUAGAGACCAACACCGGCGCAGAUCCAUGGAGGAACCACCUGAUAUGUUAAUGCGAUAUAUCCGCUCAACCAAUCACAGCGCACCAUUCCACGCAGUGUAAACAGUAAUGGCGGUGCUCUGAAUACACCCGGCAUCCUAGUCUUCCUUAUCUGCUUUGUACUUUGUGAUCAACAAAAACAGAAAAAUUAAUCAUUUUGAUGGCAUUGAUGAACCUGUGGUGGUUUCUGCGGUGGGGAAGAAAUGUCAUCGAAAUGUAAUCAUUUAGGUGAGGAGAUUAAGAAGAUGAGGCACUCGAGUUGGGAGCAGGAAAAAUGCCGGCUGUUGCUUGUUCCACGACAGCAUCAAACUUCUGUCACAGUCCCCAAAACUGAAUCAUGAAUAGUUUUUAAAAGCCGUUUUUAAUACCAAUGUACUCCGCAAAUGUGUUUAUUUUAACCGUGCGGUGGUGCCAGAUACUCUUUAAUCGGUAAUGACAAACAGAGACAUAAUUAAUUUAUAACAUAAACAAGAUGACUCGUUGAAUUCAUUUUAGGAGCGACAAUUGAAUGUAUUUUUAGUCAAAUGCCUGAAUAUAAGAUUAGUACUGACAAAGUUCAGAGGUUGUCAUAUAUGUGAAUCAACUUACUUUGUUGUGUAUUUUCAAUAUGAAAAAUAACUUUUAUAUUGAUGGAUUAAUUGCAUUUUGAAAAAAAACGUGUCAUGGAUUUAUUGUAUUUUGGGGAAAAAAUAAUCAGUUUUCAUAAUAAACCUUUUAAAAUCAACAUGUAGAUUUGAAUUUUUAAUGUUUUUAUAACCAAAAGAUGCUAUGUGAAAGUUUGAAACAGAAAAUAGUGGUUUUCAUCUUGCCGCUUUCUUGGUAAAGAAAACACCUUUUUACUCAAAUUAAUCAAAAUGGAUUUAUAGCGUUUUGGAACCAAACUCUUCGUAUAUUUGUGUGUGUGUAUAUAUAUAUAUAUAUAUAUAUUGUGUAUAUAUAUAUAUAUAUUGUGUGUGUGUUGUGUGUUUGUUU